CCAGGGAGGCCCCUGGAAUGAGCCCGUGGCAGGGGGCCAGCCGUGAACACAAGCAGUCUUGGUGGAUGUGAACCUCCAGUGACCACACACAAUCUUUCUGUGUGGGCACAGCUGAAGCCUGAUGCCCUUAAAAGUCCAGAAGUCCUUUAUCCCAAAGUGAAAAAGCAAACGUUACCCAGUAGGCAAACAAUGCUGAGAGCUCGCUUCCUCCAACUCCAUAGCUAAGCUACUCACUCCGGAUAACAUCACUCCGCGGCCAAGCCCUGAGUCAGGAAGUAGUUUAUUUUCACUGAAAUUGAGGGGGAAGUUAAAGAGAAAAACAGCUGCAAUUUGGUCAGUUCGGGAAAACCAGUGCUCAUCGAGACAGGGAUUUGAAGAACUCCUGCCUCAGAAAUGUGACUUAAUCUUUUCCUCUUACUGCCAUCUCCUUAAAACCUAAUGAAGUGAGGAGAUGGAGGACAUCGCGAUAAUAACAACUCAAGUAAUUUUUAGGACUCCACGGGACUUGGGAUCACCGGCACG